rnacentral:rRNA from 1 species
GACAGAGGGGGCAAGCGUUGCUCGGAAUUACUGGGCGUAAAGGGCUCGUAGGUGGCCAACUAAGUCAGACGUGAAAUCCCUCAGCUUAACUGGGGAACUGCGUCUGAUACUGGAUGGCUUGAGUUUGGGAGAGGGAUGCGGAAUUCCAGGUGUAGCGGUGAAAUGCGUAGAUAUUGGGAGGAACACCAGUGGCGAAGGCGGCUCACUGGACCGGUUCUGACGCUGAUGCGCGAAAGCGUGGGGAGCAAACGGG